rnacentral:rRNA from 1 species
AUUGAACGCUGGCGGCAGGCCUAACACAUGCAAGUCGAGCGGAGCGAGGGCCGGGUGAGUGAUGCCUAGGAAUCUGCCUGGGAGUGGGGGAUAACGUCCGGAAACGGACGCUAAUACCGCAUCCUAUCAGAUGAGCCUAGGUCGGGUGAGCUAGUUGGUGGGGUAAAGGCCUACCAAGGCGACGAUCCGUAACUGGUCUGAGAGGAUGAUCAGCCACACUGGAACUGAGACACGGUCCAGACUCCUACGGGAGGCAGCAGGGGGGAAUAUUGGACAAUGGGCGAAAGCCUGAUCCAGCCAUGCCGCGUGUGUGAAGAAGGUCUUCGGAUUGUAAAGCACUUUAAGUUGGGAGGCGUUACCAACAGAAUAAGCACCGGCUAACUACGUGCCAGCCGCCGCGGUAAUUC